rnacentral:misc_RNA from 1 species
GAUGAAGAACGUAGCGAAAUGCGAUAAGUAAUGUGAAUUGCAGAAUUCAGUGAAUCAUCGAAUCUUUGAACGCACAUUGCGCCCGCCAGUAUUCUGGCGGGCAUGCCUGUUCGAGCGUCAUUUCAACCAUCUAGCCCCCGGCUUGUGUUGGGGACCUGCGGCUGCCGCAGGCCCUGAAAAGCAGUGGCGGGCUCGCUGUCACACCGAGCGUAGUAGCAUACAUCUCGCUCUGGGCGUGCUGCGGGUUCCGGCCGUUAAACCACCUUCAUGACCCAAGGUUGACCUCGGAUCAGGUAGGAAGACCCGCUGAACUUAAGCAUAUCAAUAAGCGGAGGA